UUUCAUUUUUCCUCCUUUGGCUUGGCCUCUGUUUCUCUUUGUUUCUAUUACUUCUGUUUUUCAGGUUCCCUUUUCCCUCCCACUACUGAGUAAUCAGUGUCCAGUCAGAAAUCAGAGCAUCUUUAGUCUGAACCGUUCAAACCAGGGAACUAUUGUCACAUGCCGGGGAAACAAAAACAAGGCUUCUGGGAUUCUCGGAGGGAUGAAGCUGUCCAGAACCCAUCAAGCCACAGUAUCUAAAAGCAGGGCGCCUACUUUGACCGGGUACAACUGAUCAUCCCACUCUCAUCUCUAACUCAACUCCUCAUGUUCUCCAAACCAAACCCUGGCCCAAUGGAGCUGCAGUACAACAUGAGAUACAAAAAAUGCUAUGCUGUAGAAAUUCCACAGUGAUUCUCCAGGUCUCCCACUGUAAUAUCAGCAGAAGAUUGGUUAAACCCUCAAUUAAAUAGUAGAAAAAGCUGGAAAUUAACAUUUAUCUCCCCUGAUAUAAUGACUGGUGAUUGGCCCAGCAUGUUCUGGCAUAUCUACAUGAAGCACAGUAAGACAUUAGUCAGACAACUCAAUCAUCACCUGCUUUCAAAAUCACUGACUCACAUAAAGUAUGGAUUGUAACAUGCAAUGUCAUUCAAUGUACUCAGUGACCCACUCUCCACAACUGUAUUCGCUCUCCGUGAGCUUUAAAUUUGCUACAAUUGGACGAAUUGCACCCAAGCAUGGAGUGUGUGAACACAGCCUUGCUGCAUAAAUGAAGAGCCUUCAGCGGAGGGGGAGCUGAGUGUCCCAGCCCAAUCGUUGCUGGCCUCCCCAGCAGGAGAGAUGUUUCAGAGCCAGCAUUGUCACAUCAUUCCUCUGCACCUUCCACCAGUGCAGACACA